GAUGAACGCUGGCGGCGUGCCUAAUACAUGCAAGUCGAACGGAAAGAUGGGGAGCUUGCUCCUCUGGCGUUUGCGGCGGGCGGGUGAGUUACACGUGGAUAACCUCCCUAUAAGGCGGUGAUAAGUUCGGGAAAGCGGUGCUACUACCUGCGAAUAUCUGGAACAACAUGGGGCCAUAGUGAACGACGGUUUUGCUGUCACUUGUAGAUUGAUCCGCGCCUGAUUAGCUAGGUGGUGGGGUAACGGCCUACCAAGGCGACGAUCAGUAGCUGGUCUGAGAGGACGACCAGCCACACUGGGACUGAGACACGGCCCAGACUCCUACGGGAGGCAGCAGUGGGGAAUUUUGGACAAGGGGCGAAAGCCUGAUCCAGCAAUGCCGCGUGUGUGAAGAAGGCCUUCGGGUUGUAAAGCACUUUUGUCCGGAAAGAAAGCCUUGGCCCUAAUACGGGCGGGGGAUGACGGUACCGGAAGAAUAAGCACCGGCUAACUACGUG
rnacentral:rRNA from 1 species